rfam:Beggiatoa sp. 4572_84 ex4572_84_scaffold_24495, whole genome shotgun sequence.
GUAACUGUCCAUAAAUAACUUAGUCAACUAAGUUAUUUUAAAGUUACCCGCUUCAGUUCUUCGGAACUACGUUAGGGGCGAAAAUAUAGGCACUCUUGUGAUGCUUCGCAAGGAAGAGACCCUGCGGGAAACGAUUAAACAGGUCUGAUGGAAAGGCCAGUGUCGUUUCUAUUUAAAACCGCUUACUAACAUUAGCUAGGAGACUAUUAC